rnacentral:rRNA from 1 species
UACGUAGGGACCAAGCGUUGUUCGGAUUUACUGGGCGUAAAGGGCGCGUCGGCGGCGCGGUAAGUCACUUGUGAAAUCUCUGAGCUUAACUCAGAACGGCCAAGUGAUACUGCAGUGCUAGAGUGUGGAAGGGGCAAUCGGAAUUCUUGGUGUAGCGGUGAAAUGCGUAGAUAUCAAGAGGAACACCUGAGGUGAAGACGGGUUGCUGGGCCAACACUGACGCUGAGGCGCGAAAGCCAGGGGAGCAAACGGG